AUUUAUAUAGUUUAUAAAAAACAUUACAUUUUCAAUGUAAAAAUGAAGCAAUUUCUAUAAAUU
rnacentral:tRNA from 1 species